rnacentral:rRNA from 1 species
GACGAACGCUGGCGGCGUGCUUAACACAUGCAAGUCGAGCGGAAAGGCCUCUUCGGGGGUACUCGAGCGGCGAACGGGUGAGUAACACGUGAGUAAUCUGCCCUUCACUCUGGGAUAGCCACCGGAAACGGUGAUUAAUACCGGAUACGACACGUCCAGGCAUCUGGUGCGUGUGGAAACUUUUUGGGUGGGGGAUGUGCUCGCGGCCUAUCAGCUUGUUGGUGGGGUAAUGGCCUACCAAGGCUUCGACGGGUAGCCGGCCUGAGAGGGUGACCGGCCACACUGGGACUGAGACACGGCCCAGACUCCUACGGGAGGCAGCAGUGGGGAAUAUUGGACAAUGGGCGGAAGCCUGAUCCAGCAACGCCGCGUGAGGGAUGACGGUCUUCGGGUUGUAAACCUCUUUCAGCACCGACGAAGCGAUCCUUUUGGGGAGUGACGGUAGGUGCAGAAGAAGGACCGGCCAACUACGUGCCAGCCGCCGCGGUAAUAC